GGUGCGGCGGCUUGUCACUGGAGUUUAGGUCCAAAGUGAUAUAGCAUUACAUCCCAGCUGGAGGAGGUCAGCGACCAAAGUACAUUUGCAACGUAAAUUGUUUUACAUAAAACGGUGAAGCUGUGACGAUGGUACAGAGAGGCGCGCUCCGGCAGCGCUCUGCUUUUUUAGAUGAAGAUUCAACUUCGAUAGAGAACAGGCUGAUUGCUUGGAUGAUUUGGAUUUUGCAAUUAUGCAUGAGAUGAGCAAAUUGUCAUACCGGGUUAUGGAGGAAGAUGUUAUCCGUUAAUCAGGUAAUGUUUGAAGUUGUUAUGGGAGAAAAUUUUCAUACCCAUAUUGUAUCUCAGUUUACUCAGACAUUGCAUGCUACAAAGCUUGAUGUAUGGUGUUCUCUUUCUUUUGGGCUUGAGAGACAAUCAUAGCCUGAUGAUAAUUUUUUCAUUAAUAUGCUGGCAUACGUUCAGCAUAGUAUCAUGCUAUCUCCAGCAGUUUACUCAUCCCCACCCUCAUAUUCAAACUUCAGUCUACGAACAGUGCAAUCUACAGUGCAAAACUGUGUUUUAUGUGACCAUAUAAGUGAACUGCUGGAGACGGUCUCACAUUUUCAUUGCUUUGUGAUGACAAUUUCAGCUGAAGUCCUCAAUCCAACUCCACCUUGAUGGUUCAACUGCUGUUGUCGAGGACAUUGGCCGCCAGCUGCUGACCUAUGGACGAAGAAUUCCUACCCCAGAGCUUUUUGCAAGAAUAGAUGUUGUUGAUGCAAGCAUUGUGAAGCGUGUUGCAAACCGCUUCAUCUUUGAUCAGGCGGCCACCACAGGUUCGGUCCAGCUGGAGGCAAUGGUGGUGAUAGAGAUGGUGGUCACGGAGCCAACAACUCAUGGCCGGGGGGAGCACGUCAAGGCACCGCCCUAGCCCAAACCCGAGACGGAUUACUUCACCGAGAAAAGAAAUCUGUGGAGCCAGAGCUUGAAAAUAUCGAUGUCGUGGGGAGGAUGUUUGGAGACUGGAGUGUCCAUGCGCUGGGGUCAUCAAAGUCGUUGGACAAUACGUCUAAGGAGUGUUGUCUUCCCGUUAAUCUUGCAGCACAUAUAUGCAAGCAGUCCUACAAUCAUU